CCUUGUUGGUUAUCGUGAGGGUAUGAUA
rnacentral:sRNA from 1 species